UGGAACUGGGUUUGUUGAGGGUUACGAC
rnacentral:sRNA from 1 species